AUUGUUUUAACUAAUGCUUGAAAUUUUGAUUUUUUUUCUUCAGUUAAUUAUAUCGUGUUUAAAAUGUAAAUAGUCUUUUUGAAACCACUGCCCAUUGUUUUAACACCUGCUUGAACAUGUGAAUUUUGUGAGUUCACAAAAUUGUGUUUGAAAGUAAAUAGUCUUUUUGAAACCAUUGUCCGUAGUUUUAACUGCUGCUUGAACAUGUGAAUGAUUUGAGUUCCCUACUAGUGUCUGAAAUGUAAAUAGUUUUUUUGAAACCACUGCCCAUUGUUUUAACACCUGCUUGGAAAAGUGAUUUGAAUUCAAAAAAUUGUGUUUGAAAGUUUUUUUUGAAACCAUUGCCCAUUUUUUCAACUGAUGCUUGAAAAUGUGAAAGAUUAUAUUUCACUUCAUCGUAUUUGAAAUGCAUAUAGUUUUGUUGAAUCAUUGCCCAAUUUUUCCGACUACAUGAAAAUAUGAAAGUUUCCAGUGCCAUUAUCGUCUUUCAAAAGUGAAUAGUCAGUUUGUAACCAUUGCCCUUUGUUUUAACUACUGCUUGAAAAUGUAAAUGUAAUGAAUUUAAAAUGUAAAUAUAUUUUUUUAAACCAUUGCUCUUUGUUUUAGCUACUUCUUGAAACUGUAAAUGUAAUGAAUUCACUAAUAGUGUUUAAAAUGUAAAACGUCUUUUUGAAACCA
rnacentral:lncRNA from 1 species